rnacentral:rRNA from 1 species
UACCCAAUCCCGAUUCGGGGAGGUAGUGACAAUAAAUAACAAUACAGGGCCAACGGUCUUGUUAUUGGAAUGAGAACAAUUUAAAUAACUUAACGAGGAUCAAUUAGAGGGCAAGUCUGGUGCCAGCAGCCGCGGUAAUUCCAGCUCUAAUAGCGUAUAUUAAAGUUGUUGCAGUUAAAAAGCUCGUAGUCGGAUGUCGGGCUCGGGCAGGCUGUCGGCUUCGGUCGGACGGCAGGCUCGGGUCUUUCUGCCUGAGGAACCCGUGGCACUUAACUGUGCGGCGUGGGGACGCAGGCCGUUUACUUUGAAAAAAUUAGAGUGUUCAAAGCAGGCCUACGCUUGAAUACAUUAGCAUGGAAUAAUGGAAUAGGACUUUGGUGCUAUUUUGUUGGUUUAUGGGACCGAAGUAAUGAUUAACAGGGACAGUUGGGGCCGUUUAUAUUUCGUUGUCAGAGGUGAAAUUCUUGGAUUUACGAAAGAUAAACUUCUGCGAAAGCAUUCGGCAAGGAUGUUUUCAUUGAUCAAGAACGAAAGUUAGGGGAUCGAAGACGAUCAGAUACCGUCGUAGUCUUAACCAUAAACUAUGCCGACUAGGGAUCAGUGGAUGUCAAUUUGCGACUCCAUUGGCACCUUGUGAGAAAUCAAAGUUUUUGGGUUCCGGGGGGAGUAUGGUCGCAAGGCUGAAACUUAAAGGAAUUGACGGAAGGGCACCACCAGGAGUGGAGCCUGCGGCUUAAUUUGACUCAACACGGGGAAACUUACCAGGUCCAGACAUAGUAAGGAUUGACAGAUUGAAAGCUCUUUCUUGAUU